CCUACGGGAGGCAGCAGUGAGGAAUAUUGGUCAAUGGACGAGAGUCUGAACCAGCCAAGUAGCGUGAAGGAUGACUGCCCUAUGGGUUGUAAACUUCUUUUAUAAAGGAAUAAAACGAGGCACGUGUGCCUUUUUGCAUGUACUUUAUGAAUAAGGAUCGGCUAACUCCGUGCCAGCAGCCGCGGUAAUACGGAGGAUCCGAGCGUUAUCCGGAUUUAUUUGGUUUAAAGGGAGCGUAGAUGGGUUGUUAAGUCAGUUGUGAAAGUUUGCGGCUCAACCGUAAAAUUGCAAUUGAUACUGGCAGUCUUGAGUACAGUUGAGGUAGGCGGAAUGCGUGGUGUAGCGGUGAAAUGCUUAGAUAUCACGAAGAACCCCGAUUGCGAAGGCAGCUUACUAAACUGUGACUGACAUUGAUGCUCGAAAGUGUGGGUAUCAAACAGGAUUAGAUACCCUUGUAGUC
rnacentral:rRNA from 1 species